GUUAUUGAAAACAUAAAGUAGUUGGUGCUUCCGAUUUUUUAGCUUUUGGAUUAAAAAUUCUACGGUUGGAUUGAUAGCGGUCCCCUAGGGUUGAGUGGUCCCCAUUAAUUAAUAAUAUUAAUCCAAUGGUUAAAAAUGAUCAAUCAGAUUGAUCUAAGGGCUAAAAAAUCGGAAGCACCAACCACUUUAUACUUCCGAUAGCAUAAUAGCUCUCCUCUCUCUCUCUCUCUUUCUCUCUCUCUCUCUAUAUAUAUAUAGAGUAGGGCUACUAUACUCUUAUGAGUAUUGAGCUCUUCGUACUCAUAAGUUGUUUUCGAUGAUAGGGCUUCCAAAUCGACGAUCCACUCCGUUAAAUAUGAUCUAGAGUAUUUGAAACUUCUAAAAAUAAAUUUCGUAAUUUUUCGAAAUCAUAAUAAAGUCCAUCAAACGGACAUAAAAUGAACAGUCAAAAUCGAACGACGUCCAUAAAAUAUAUGAUCGGGUCCUUCAAUUUAAGAUCGGAGUUGUUGAUCUUUAUCUAGAUAGUGAAUCGAAUUUUCUAUCAAAAAUUCAACCUAUUCCAAUUCUUUUGCACAGUUAAACUAGCAAGUAUCCCAUACCGGUCGUUAAAAAUUGUCAAUUUUGUGAGCUUUUGAUCGUAAGGUAAAUGAUGUCGAAAAAUUAUAAAAUUUGAUUUUUAGAAGUUUUAAAUACUCUAGAUAAUGUUUAACGGUAUGGAUCGUCGAUUCGGAAGCUCUAUAAUAAAAAAUAACUUAUGAGUAUGAUGGCGAUCGUACUCAUAAGAAUAUAGUAGCCAGA
rnacentral:lncRNA from 1 species